ensembl:lncRNA
ACAGCGGCGGGUGGUGCGGGACGUGGUGGUGGGUUGCUGUCCCUGCGGUCGUAUCGAGGAGCUCACACUCUUCGCAGUCUCCUCCCUGAUCUGUGUCCCUGUGUGCCAGAAGCAUCGCUCAGUGAGACUUAAACAAGAAAUACCUUGUGCUACACUGCCACUUGUGCACCCUUGUUUGACUGAUGCUUGAUCCUGUCUGCUGGGAAGGCUGGCUGAAUGGAGGCAGACCCAUCUCCUCUUUCUCUCCUCUGGAACGUGCUUUCAGUCUGCUGCUGCAGUGCAGAUUUGCAGCUGGGUUCUGCUCAGGGUGUGUGGCUGCUCGGCCUCACUGCUGCUUUCCUGCACUGGAUGCGUGCACCUCCAGGAGUGUUGGUUCUUCUGCAUCUCAGGGAAGGAGACUCAUCCUCAUCUGCGCCCUUUUCAGCUGUGAAGGAAGUGUUGGUGCAGGGUCUCCAGGAGGGCCAUAGGUCCUAUGGGCCAACCUGGGCUCAUCCAUGCAGAGCUCCUCCUGGCGCAGUGUGUCUGCCAUAUCCCAGUUUCUCACACUGGAUGGGCUGAGCUGCACCACGGGGAGGUGUUGGGAAGCACAGCGGCUGAAUGUGCCACUCCAGAGGCCACUCACAGCCAGGGCGCAUCCCCAGACUGCUCAUUUCUGGGCUCUUACCACCCAUGCAAGCACCUCCAUGAGGCCAACGUGCCCAGCAGACUCCACCAUGCGGCAUUUCCCAGCAGAUCCCCCCAUGCUGCUUCUCCAGACUGCAUGUGCAGCUGCAAGCAGGAAUUCCCAGAGGAGCAGAAGAACUCUCCGGGCUCUGCUGUUAUCCUACAAGGCAUCAGCAUGGGGCCGGAUAAACCCAACGGAUCAAGGGCAGCUUGGCUGGUCAAUGGGAGGCAGCCAAAGCAAACAGCAGUGGCUCCCAGACCUCAACAGGAGCCCCUCGGUGGCUCACUGCACUUCAUUUGCUCUUUUGCUUUUAGGAGAAGGGGUGAGGUGUGGGGCUGGGCACGACGACAUGUGGGCUCUCGAGCGAACCCCCCAGGGCCGAUGGAAACUGCGUACCGCUCAGCACGCUGCGCACGUCAUUAGGAAAAUGUUAGUUAAAAGGAAGGAUGCAAAUGGUCCCAGGCUGUGCUUCCUGAUCACUCCGCAGUGCCUCUGUGACAUCAUGUGCUUUUGUUACGGCUCCGAAACGCCUUCGAUGCUUUUUCGGGCACGUUCCCUCCCGCUCUGUCAGGGCUGGUUCACAUUAGGAUGUUUGCUCAGCAGCUACUGGGGUUUUGGCAGGACGGCUGCUGCCUUCUGCUUGCAGAGCACGAGGGGAUCGUGGGAUGCUGCUGGACGUGUCAAAGUGGAGUAUGGUUAUGCUGGGGAGAAAAGCAGCACUCGGGUCCGGACCCAUAGGGCUCCCAUUUGGAGGUGCUGCUGGUGCAAUGGGGCUGGGGGUCCCAUCAGCAUCAUGGGAAAUGGGGACCGCAGUGACCGUGGGCUCUGCAGACCCCUCCGGGGAGGUCACCCCCAUCCCAGACCCCUGGCAAAAAAAGAAAACAGUCCCAGCGUAUUCAUACUUGCAAAAACAAACAGGAGGAAGGCAGGAGAAGGAAGGAGCACGCCGUAGAGGAGUGCUGAGUUCCUAGACCUCCAAUCCCUCCAUUUCCAAUGUCCAUUUCCUCCUGAGCACCCCACACCAAGAGCAGUCCCUUUGGUGGUGCCCAGCAUGGUUAGCUUUCGAAGGGCACCUGUGUCCCUUCCCAAACAGAUUUGUCCCUUUUUUGGUCUCUUCAGCAUCUCCAGUGUUCACCCUGCAAUGCAACACUGCAGUAUCCAGCAGGCAAUGCUCCGCUUGGAUGGGAGGGUGCGGAGAGGGGCGAUGGAGGUGGUGCUCCACGUGCUGUUGGGGGCUGGGGGGUUCUCACUGCUGCUUCUCAGCAUUUCUCCAUUUAUUUCAGGCAGAUCCUGAGCCCAGCAAGUUAGUCAGUGUCAGUGCAGCGUUCCUUCCUGCUGAGAGGAGGAUGCCAGGCACGUGCCCUGCACACCCCCAGCACUGAGCAGUGCAGGGGUCAGGCAUCCUUCACCUCCAGCCCCUGAUAACGCUGCACUGGAGCCAGGCUGAGCUGGAACCUGGGGGACCGUAGAGGGGACACCUCCAGGUGCAAAAGGUGACACUUAGCUUGGCUUUAAUCUGUCCCCAAAAGCAAGCAUCCCGCUGGCUGCCAACUCACCUAACCGCCAAGCCAAUUAGCUUUGCUUUGUUUACCUCCUGCUGCUUUCCCCCCCAGCGAUCCCAACAAACAGGAUUUCAGUUCCCCCACCCCCCUCCCUCCCUCUCCGUGCUGUGAAUGCCGGGUCUCUGUUUGUUUGUUUGCUCGGGGAAGUGCAGGUGGCUGCCAGGACCCCCCCCCAGCCCGCAGCCAGGUGCCCCAGGUGGGCACACCGCCCGAUCCCAGCCUGCCCCAGCCUGCGCCCUCCGCGUUGCACAACGGCCGACGGAGCUCGGAUCGCGUUUCUUCCAAGAGCUGCUGGAAAGCAAACAUUUUUUUUUGGGGGGGGGGGGGGCUGGAGGACCGGACAAUGGGGGAAAACAAGUCAUUAAGCCGCUCCGGCUCUGCUG